ACAAGGGACCUGGAAGGAUGAAUGGCCGUGUCUAGGUUGCCCUCCCAACACCAACAGCCCAUCCAGGGCUACCACGAUGCUUACAGAGAGUACGCAGCAACUGCAGACGCUACCACGAUGGCUCCCAGGGCAAGCAGCACAGGCUUAUUGGUGCUCUGCUUCGCCUCUCUCCUACUCCUUGUCCCAUCGUUUGCUGAUGAAAGCUCCGCAGCCCAUGAUGCUGGGAGGAGUAUGACAUCAGGAGGGGUCAUGGAUGACCAUUCUCAUCCGAUAUAUAGUCCACCGGAUUACGGCGCAGUGAAUAAAAUAAUGGCUAGAGGGGUUCUUGUAAUUUUUUGUUGUUUCUUUUCAUUUCUUUUCUGAAACCCUUUGGUUCAUUUGUAUGUAAGUAAAUAAAAUGAUCAGUACUCAGCGUUGCGCUUGUUUUGAUUAUUGUUACAUGGUUACCAUGGAUGCGCGUUGUGCAGCAGGUCCAUCAACUGUAAUCGAUUAACGCAUAUAUUCCUUGCUUCGCAGGCUACAGACACAUUAGACUAUAAUGAAGUGCUUUUGUUAA